GAAUAAUUAAAAAUAUAUCUUAAAUAAAUCUCAACCAAGUUCUAAUUUAAUUCUAGUUGAAAUCUUAAUAGAUUUCAAUCAAAUCCUAAAUCAAACUUUAGAUCAAAUUCUAGAUCCUAAACCAAAUCCUAAAUCAAACCUUGAAUAAAUCCUACAUCCUAAAUAAAACUUUAAAUCAUAAAUCUUAAAUCAAAUCCUAAAUCAAAUCCUAAAUAAAUCCUAAAUCCUAGACCAAAUCCUAAAUCAAAUCCUAGAUAAAUCCUAAACCUUAAUUCCUAAAUCAAAUCUUAGACAAAUCUUAAAUCCUAAACCAAACCUUAGAUCAAACCCUAGAUCCUAAACCAAAUCAUAAAUCAAAUCCUAAUGCAAUUUAAAAUCUGAAUAACUAUCAAUUAAACUAUUGAUUUUGCUUAAAAAUUUACUUACCUUUCAAAAAUUAAGUUGGCUACAAGCAUAUAAAAUUUGAAGAUAAUCACACAU
rnacentral:lncRNA from 1 species